AUUGAACGCUGGCGGCAUGCCUUACACAUGCAAGUCGAACGGCAGCGGGGGAGAAGCUUGCUUUUCCUGCCGGCGAGUGGCGAACGGGUGAGUAAUACAUCGGAACGUGCCCUGUAGUGGGGGAUAACUAGUCGAAAGAUUAGCUAAUACCGCAUACGACCUGAGGGUGAAAGUGGGGGACCGCAAGGCCUCAUGCUCUAGGAGCGGCCGGUGUCUGAUUAGCUAGUUGGUGGGGUAAAGGCCUACCAAGGCGACGAUCAGUAGCUGGUCUGAGAGGACGAUCAGCCACACUGGGACUGAGACACGGCCCAGACUCCUACGGGAGGCAGCAGUGGGGAAUUUUGGACAAUGGGCGAAAGCCUGAUCCAGCAAUGCCGCGUGUGUGAAGAAGGCCUUCGGGUUGUAAAGCACUUUUGUCCGGAAAGAAAUGGCUCUGGUUAAUACCUGGGGUCGAUGACGGUACCGGAAGAAUAAGGACCGGCUAACUACGUGCCAGCCGCCGCCGUAACAC
rnacentral:rRNA from 1 species